rnacentral:rRNA from 1 species
UGGGGAAUUUUGGACAAUGGGCGAAAGCCUGAUCCGGCAAUGCCGCGUGUGUGAAGAAGGCCUUCGGGUUGUAAAGCACUUUUGUCCGGAAAGAAAUCCUUGGCUCUAAUACAGUCGGGGGAUGACGGUACCGGAAGAAUAAGCACCGGCUAACUACGUGCCAGCAGCCGCGGUAAUACGUAGGGUGCAAGCGUUAAUCGGAAUUACUGGGCGUAAAGCGUGCGCAGGCGGUUUGCUAAGACCGAUGUGAAAUCCCCGGGGCUCAACCUGGGAACUGCAUUGGUGACUGGCAGGCUAGAGUAUGGCAGAGGGGGGUAGAAUUCCACGUGUAGCAGUGAAAUGCGUAGAGAUGUGGAGGAAUACCGAUGGCGAAGGCAGCCCCCUGGGCCAAUACUGACGCUCAUGCACGAAAGCGUGGGGAGCAAACAGGAUUAGAUACCCUGGUAGUCCACGCCCUAAAACGAUGUCAACUAGUUGUUGGGGAUUCAUUUCCUUAGUAACGUAGCUAACGCGUGAAGUUGACCGCCUGGGGAGUACGGUCGCAAGAUU